UGGAUGAACGCUAGCUACAGGCUUAACACAUGCAAGUCGAGGGGCAGCAUGGUCUUAGCUUGCUAAGGCCGAUGGCGACCGGCGCACGGGUGAGUAACACGUAUCCAACCUGCCGUCUACUCUUGGACAGCCUUCUGAAAGGAAGAUUAAUACAAGAUGGCAUCAUGAGUCCGCAUGUUCACAUGAUUAAAGGUAUUCCGGUAGACGAUGGGGAUGCGUUCCAUUAGAUAGUAGGCGGGGUAACGGCCCACCUAGUCUUCGAUGGAUAGGGGUUCUGAGAGGAAGGUCCCCCACAUUGGAACUGAGACACGGUCCAAACUCCUACGGGAGGCAGCAGUGAGGAAUAUUGGUCAAUGGGCGAGAGCCUGAACCAGCCAAGUAGCGUGAAGGAUGACUGCCUUAUGGGUUGUAAACUUCUUUUAUAAAGGAAUAAAGUCGGGUAUGGAUACCCGUUUGCAUGUACUUUAUGAAUAAGGAUCGGCUAACUCCGUGCCAGCAGCCGCGGUAAUACGGAGGAUUCGAGCGUUAUCCGGAUUUAUUGGGUUUAAAGGGAGCGUAGAUGGAUGUUUAAGUCAGUUGUGAAAGUUUGCGGCUCAACCGUAAAAUUGCAGUUGAUACUGGAUAUCUUGAGUGCAGUUGAGGCAGGCGGAAUUCGUGGUGUAGCGGUGAAAUGCUUAGAUAUCACGAAGAACUCCGAUUGCGAAGGCAGCCUGCUAAGCUGCAACUGACAUUGAGGCUCGAAAGUGUGGGUAUCAAACAGGAUUAGAUACCCUGGUAGUCCACACGGUAAACGAUGAAUACUCGCUGUNUGCGAUAUACGGCAAGCGGCCAAGCGAAAGCGUUAAGUAUUCCACCUGGGGAGUACGCCGGCAACGGUGAAACUCAAAGGAAUUGACGGGGGCCCGCACAAGCGGAGGAACAUGUGGUUUAAUUCGAUGAUACGCGAGGAACCUUACCCGGGCUUAAAUUGCAGAUGAAUUACGGUGAAAGCCGUAAGCCGCAAGGCAUCUGUGAAGGUGCUGCAUGGUUGUCGUCAGCUCGUGCCGUGAGGUGUCGGCUUAAGUGCCAUAACGAGCGCAACCCUUGUUGUCAGUUACUAACAGGUUCUGCUGAGGACUCUGACAAGACUGCCAUCGUAAGAUGUGAGGAAGGUGGGGAUGACGUCAAAUCAGCACGGCCCUUACGUCCGGGGCUACACACGUGUUACAAUGGGGGGUACAGAGGGCCGCUACCACGCGAGUGGAUGCCAAUCCCAAAAACCUCUCUCAGUUCGGACUGGAGUCUGCAACCCGACUCCACGAAGCUGGAUUCGCUAGUAAUCGCGCAUCAGCCACGGCGCGGUGAAUACGUUCCCGGGCCUUGUACACACCGCCCGUCAAGCCAUGGGAGCCGGGGGUACCUGAAGUGCGUAACCGCGAGGAGCGCCCUAGGGUAAAA
rnacentral:rRNA from 1 species